AUAUUACAUAAUUUUCCCAACAAAGUUUAAUCAUAAUGAGGAAAAAAAUGAACUAAGCCUAACCUUGAUUCGACGAGAAUAUAAGAACACUGCAGGAGACGACGUCGGGCAACACAGAUCAAAGAAGGCGCAGCAGACAGCAGUCGCAAAGAGAAAAGAAAGUAGGCAGGAGGAGAAAUGGGUUACCGGCUUCGGACACAGCCAUAGAAGGGCGAUGCCAGCGAGAUUUGCGAGGAAGCUGCGGCACAACUCAGAUGAGAGAAGAGGAAGAUAACAAGACAGGCUUAGGUUUAGAUAAGAAAGG
rnacentral:misc_RNA from 1 species